AUUGAAACACUGGUUCUCAUCUGAUCACCAAAGUUAAGCAUCUUUGAGUCUGGUCAAUACCUAAAUGGGUGACUGCUUGGGACUAUCAGGUACUGUAAG